CUCCAAUAGCGUAUAUUAAAGUUGUUGCAGUUAAAAAGCUCGUAGUUGAAUUUCUAGUUCUCCGGGACUAUCCGAUAACUGUUUGUUUGUCAUUAGUUUGGCUUGCAGGCAUUAUCAUUACUUUGAAAAAAUUAGAGUGUUUCAAGCAGACUUUGUUUGAAUAUCUUAGCAUGGAAUAAUGGAAUAGGACUUUGAUCCAA
rnacentral:rRNA from 1 species